UGGAAGAUCGAUUGGUGUCAUCGCUGCUGUAGUCGCGGCUCUCGUCGCUCUCGUCGCCGUUGUUGCUGGAAUUGUGGUCUGGAAGAAGAAGAACUCUGGCUUCAAACCUGUUCCACCCAAACCCUCCUCUGAAGGAGAUUCUUCAACCAACAACUCUUAAAUUGUGACUGUGUGUCUUCCUGCAGAACUGAGAGAGUAAGACCUGAU